UACGGGGGGGGCAAGGCGUUGUUCGGAAUUACUGGGCGUAAAGGGCUCGUAGGUGGUCAACUAAGUCAUACGUGAAAUCCCUCGGCUUAACCGGGGAACUGCGCCUGAUACUGGUUGACUUGAGUUUGGGAGAGGGACGCGGAAUUCCAGGUGUAGCGGUGAAAUGCGUAGAUAUCGAGAGGAACACCUGCGGCGAAGGCGGGUUGCUGGGCUGAUACUGACACUGAGGAGCGAAAGCCAGGGGAGCAAACGGG
rnacentral:rRNA from 1 species